rnacentral:rRNA from 1 species
AUUGAACGCUGGCGGCAUGCUUUACACAUGCAAGUCGAACGGUAACAGGCCGCAAGGUGCUGACGAGUGGCGAACGGGUGAGUAAUGCAUCGGAACGUGCCCAGUCGUGGGGGAUAACGCAGCGAAAGCUGCGCUAAUACCGCAUACGAUCUAUGGAUGAAAGCGGGGGACCGUAAGGCCUCGCGCGAUUGGAGCGGCCGAUGUCAGAUUAGGUAGUUGGUGGGGUAAAGGCUCACCAAGCCAACGAUCUGUAGCUGGCCUGAGAGGACGACCAGCAACACUGGGAAUGAGCCACGGCCCAGACUCCGACGGGAGGCAGCAGUGGGGAAUUUUGGACAAUGGGCGCAAGCCUGAUCCAGCAAUGCCGCGUGCAGGAAGAAGGCCUUCGGGUUGUAAACUGCUUUUGUACGGAACGAAACGGUCCGGGUUAAUACCUUGGGCUAAUGACGGUACCGUAAGAAUAAGCACCGGCUAACUACGUGCCAGCAGCCGCCGUAAAAC